rnacentral:rRNA from 1 species
UACAGAGGUCCCGAGCGUUGUUCGGAUUCACUGGGCGUAAAGGGUGCGUAGGUGGUGAGGUAAGUCGGAUGUGAAAUCUCCGGGCUCAACCCGGAAAUGGCAUUGGAAACUACCUUGCUGGAGGAUUUGAGGGGGGAUUGGAAUACUUGGUGUAGCAGUGAGAUGCGUAGAUAUCAAGUGGAACACCAGUGGCGAAGGCGAAUCCCUGGAAAAUACCUGACACUGAGGCACGAAAGCUAGGGGAGCAAACAGG